rnacentral:rRNA from 1 species
AGAGUUUGAUCCUGCAGGAUGAACGCUAGCGGCAGGCUUAAUACAUGCAAGUCGAGGGGCAGCGCAGUGUAGCAAUACAUGGGCGGCGACCGGCAAACGGGUGCGGAACACGUACGCAACUUACCCAUAACUGGGGAAUAGCCCGGGGAAACCCGGAUUAAUACCUCGUAACCUAUUGAAGUGGCAUCACUUUAUUAGUAUAGAUUUAUUUCGGUUAUGGAUGGGCGUGCGCCUGAUUAGGUAGUUGGCGGGGUAACGGCCCACCAAGCCUUCGAUCAGUAACUGGUGUGAGAGCACGACCAGUCACACGGGCACUGAGACACGGGCCCGACUCCUACGGGAGGCAGCAGUAAGGAAUAUUGGUCAAUGGACGCAAGUCUGAACCAGCCAUGCCGCGUGAAGGAUGAAGGUCCUCUGGAUUGUAAACUUCUUUUAUGUGGGACGAAACCCGGAUAUUCUUAUCCGAUUGACGGUACCAUAGGAAUAAGCACCGGCUAACUCCGUGCCAGCAGCCGCGGUAAUACGGAGGGUGCAAGCGUUAUCCGGAUUCACUGGGUUUAAAGGGUGCGUAGGAGGGCAGGUAAGUCAGUGGUGAAAUCUCCGAGCUUAACUUGGAAACUGCCGUUGAUACUAUCUGUCUUGAAUAUUGUGGAGGUGAGCGGAAUAUGUCAUGUAGCGGUGAAAUGCUUAGAUAUGACAUAGAACACCAAUUGCGAAGGCAGCUUGCUACGCAUAUAUUGACUCUGAGGCACGAAAGCGUGGGGAUCAAACAGGAUUAGAUACCCUAGUAGUCC